rnacentral:lncRNA from 1 species
AAGCAUUGACUGUGGAUGUGCGUGCAGCCGCACCCUCUCCUGGAAUUCCUAUUGGUCUCCUCCUUGUCCUAAGCUGCUGCUCAGAAGCUCACCGUAAAGGAAACUAUGUUGCUGCCAUUUGACGUCAAAGCGCAUCGAUAACUGAUUCAGUAAUUGGCAACUACUCCUCUAUCAAUGUGUAUGCACAUGGAGACUUGGACUGUCAGAUAAGGGCAGAACGCCAACAACCAAGGCAAGAAGAAUGUGAAAAAGGAUUCAGUAUGUUCAAGAACCCCAAGCCUGGUAACUUCCUUAGUGUACACCAUUAUUUACAUAAACAUCAAUAAAUUCAGAAGAUUAAAGAUUUG